rnacentral:lncRNA from 1 species
AUCGAAGAACCUUUAUGGAUUUUUCAGUCUAUUUUUCUACUUCUUGUCUGAACUUUAUGAACUUUCAAAGGCUUUAGACUUAUGGUGCAUCAAAUACACAAACUCAUACCAUGAAUAAUCAUCGAUAAAGAUUAUAAAAUAGAUAUAGCCACCCUUGGCAUGUACAUCAAAUGGACCACACACGUUAGUGUAUAUCAGGGCUAAUAUCUCAGUGGCCCUUUCUCUUUAUCCCAUAAUGGGUAGCUUAGCCAUUUUCUUUGAAGACACGAUUCCCAAAUCGGAUAAGACUC